rnacentral:rRNA from 1 species
UACAGAGGGUGCGAGCGUUGUCCGGAAUCACUGGGCGUAAAGAGCGUGUAGGUGGCUCGGUAAGUCCGCUGUGAAAGUCCAGGGCUCAACCCUGGAAAGCCGGUGGAAACUGUCGAGCUCGAGUCCGGAAGAGGCGAGUGGAAUUCCUGGUGUAGCGGUGAAAUGCGCAGAUAUCAGGAGGAACACCAAUGGCGAAGGCAGCUCGCUGGGACGGUACUGACACUGAGACGCGAAAGCGUGGGGAGCAAACAGG